AACGUAGGACGCGAGCGUUAUCCGGAGUUACUGGGCGUAAAGCGCGUGCAGGCGGUCUGACAAGUCUGAUGUGAAAUCUCCGGGCUUAACCGGGAGAGGCCAUUGGAAACUGACAGGCUGGAGGGCAGUAGAGGUAGGCGGAAUUCCGGGUGGAGUGGUGAAAUGCGUAGAGAUCCGGAGGAACACCGGUGGCGAAGGCGGCUUCCUGGACCGACACUGACGCUGAGGCGCGAAAGCUAGGGGAGCAAACGGG
rnacentral:rRNA from 1 species